GCCGGCGUAGCUCAGUUGGCAGAGCAGCGGUUUCGUAAACCGCAGGUCGGCGGUUCGAAUCCGCCCACCGGCU
rnacentral:tRNA from 1 species